rnacentral:rRNA from 1 species
CAGCGCCACGAGUGGGGAUCAUGUUUAUUGGGCCUAAAGCAUCCGUAGCCGGCUCUGUAAGUUUUCGGUUAAAUCUGUACGCUCAACGUACAGGCUGCCGGGAAUACUGCAGAGCUAGGGAGUGGGAGAGGUAGACGGUACUCGGUAGGAAGGGGUAAAAUCCUUUGAUCUAAUGAUGACCACCUGUGGCGAAGGCGGUCUACCAGAACACGUCCGACGGUGAGGGAUGAAAGCUGGGGGAGCAAACCGGAUUAGAUACCCGUGUAGUCC